rnacentral:lncRNA from 1 species
GAAACCUACUUCGGAUUGAGAAGCUUUCAUACAAGUGAAUGAGAGGGUCACAUCUCUACAGUAAGAGGUGUUUUAAAAACACUUUUAGCUGUAUUUGCAUUAAGGUAUUCAGCUGAUGUUUCACCUCAUGCUUGCUUUCUUUAUUUACCGUUAAUGUUAUUGACUUAAUAAAUGGAUACACGCCCAUUUUUUUUCCCACAAAACGAAAGUAGAUGUAAGAUCAGUGCCCUGCCCUGCCUCCCCAGAGUAAGGCAUGCACGUGAUCUGAACUGAUCUGAGCAUCUGAGCUGUGUCAGAUACACCAUGCGUGCUCAGCUGUGACUCCUUCACUGGGCAUCAUCUCAGAAUGAAGUGUCCUCGAUGCAAUCAUGUGUCUUCAGAAAAGGCAAAAUUCUGCUGCGAGUGUGGAUUCAACCUGUCAUCUCUCUCAACUGAGACAGCACCAGGCAAGUCACAAGAGUCUCAAUCAUCCUCAAACAUCCCACAUGGCACUGAUGAAGAACACAAUCCAACACAAUCAAAUGAAGAUAUCAACAACUCUAACCCAACGAAAGAGGUGCUGGACAUGGACAUCAAUUCUAACAAAUAGCUCUGGAUUAAGUUUUUAAAAUGUUUCUUAUUCUGAGAUUCUGCUGUUGGUGAUUUUAUGAUUUUUAUUCACCCUGUGUGCAUGCAAUUGCUGAAAAUAAAAAUGUAUUUUACACAAUAUUGUAAAUGUACUUAAAUAAUUUUAAAUGGAAAAUUUGCUCUGUUGGCUAACAUUAAUGAUAAUCACAGAAAGCAUAAACAUGGAAAUGAAAAACAUGGGGCCCGUUCUUCGUACGUUGCUAACUCCGCUGUAUUUGAUUGUUGAUGAUUUCGCUUUAUCUUGGAUUGGUUGGUUCUUCGAAGC